AGAAUCCUUAUGAAAUUAUGUCAUUCACUGAUUACAAUUAAAUGAAUUUCUGAAUUCUGUAGUAUUUGCAUAUAAUAUUUGUGCAAGUGUGUGUGAAAAAUUCGACACUUAAAAUAUGAAAAUAUCUUAAAAAGUGAAGUGCUGAAGGAUGAUGUUUGUUGUGACAGUUUUUAAGUGAUUCUGUGUUCUGAUUCGAUACUUAAAAUAUGAAGUGCUGAAGGAUAAUGUUUGUUGUGACAGUUUUUAAGUGAUUCCGUAUUCUUCUCAAUAAUUCUUGCAUCAGUUGGAAAAUACGGACCAAGAAAGAAAUUGAGAUAAGUACUUUCUACCUAUUAAAGGAAUAUAUUUAACAGGCAUGUGCAUUGUAGGGUGAACUUUACUUUACCGGACCCAAAAUUUUGGACUUUUUUUUUUUCAAUCUAUAGUUUUUGAUGCGGAGAAUCCAAAAAUGCAAGUCUCAACUUUAGGAAUCCAAUGGUUCAAAAGUUAUAAGCAUGUAAAGUUUGAUAUUUUUAGCGCAUUUGCUACGGUACUGUAACGCCAUAUUGACUUCUUGUCCAAUGAACGGUGUCGCUAGCUGCAGGCAGAUUCAUGUGGGUGCCGACUACUUUGGCGGGUACAGUCAAACCGUACAUUUGAUACUGUCUCAGUUAGUUAGGUUUAUAUUUAUUUUACAAACAGACUGUACUGCCCAUGUGAGAACCAAUCAGGUUAUACAUAUAAGGCAAUAUGGCGUCACAGUAACGUAGCAAAUCCGCUAAAAAUGUAAAAGUUUACACGCUUAUAACUUUUUAACCACUGAAUUCCUAAAGUUGAGACUUGCAUUUUCAGAUUCUACACAAAAAAACCUAUCAAUCAAAAAAAAAAGGUCCAAAAUUUUGGGUCCGGUAAAGUAAAGUUUACCCUGCAUUGUAUUUUGUGGCCUCUUUAACGUAUCUGUUACAAGUGGUUUAAUCAGUGUCGAGCAGUUAUCAUCUUUAAGGUUAUAAAGAGACAAAACUGUUAUGUGGAAAUUAUUAGACUUGUUUGCUACGUUAAUCAUGUAAGUAUACGUCUAAUAUUUGUAAUACGUAAAAUGCUAUACAAGUAAAAUGGUUUGAUGCGACCAUUAUCAAAUUAUAUAUAAUACAUGCAAAUUCAUGCCAUUACUUUCACUUUGCAUGGAUCAGCACAUGAUAGCCAUUUAAAAACAAGUAACUGUUAGAUGCAUCGUAUAAUUAAUUUUACUAACCCUGAAAUGUAAUAUUAGGACAAAUAACAAAGACGUAUUCUGAAAAUCAAUGUAAUUACUUUGUCGCAUCAUAUAUCUGGAAAUAUGUUUAAGUAUCUAUUCUGACAUUGAUGAGGAAAUUACAAUCAAAAAAUUAUGGGGUAGGAAAGUUGAAUAGAUCCAUUAAAGAAAUUCAGCAGUGUGCAAUGAAAUACUAGGAUAAAUAACAGAAAUGUACUCUGAAAGCAGAUGCAAUUACUUUCUCGCAGGAUAUAUGUGGAAAUAUAAUAAAGCAUUUAUUCAGACAUUGAUGAGGAAAUUACAACGAAA